rnacentral:rRNA from 1 species
UACGUAGGAUGCAAGCGUUGUCCGGAAUUAUUGGGCGUAAAGAGCGCGCAGGCGGUCUAUCAAGUCAGAUGUGAAAUAUCCAGGCUUAACCUGGAGGGGUCAUUUGAAACUGGUAGACUAGAGUACAGCAGAGGAUAGUGGAAUUCCCGGUGUAGUGGUGAAAUGCGCAGAUAUCGGGAGGAACACCGGUGGCGAAGGCGGUUCUCUGGGCCUUACCUGACGCUGAGGAGCGAAAGCGUGGGGAGCGAACAGG